GUUUGUAGCGUCUAACCACAUACCCGUGUAGUUACCACUCCCCUUUUGUGUCUAUCUAAUAAUGUUAGCAAGCUUUCUGCCCAGACUCAAAAUGUUUGUCAAUAGCGAAUCUUCAUUGAAAGUACCAGUUACAAAACCAUAAUUGGUAGUGAAGUCCGGGGAACUGGCCUUAAAGCUGACAUCCGUAGUUUGAAGCGCCACUGCAUUUGUUCCUGUUUUGCUUUUAAAAAGGAGAUGCGCAACCUGGUCUCAACAUUGUGUAUUAUUCUGUACAUGCUGAGUUUCAGAGAAUCACCAACCAGAGCCUGCAGCAGACGUUCUACUCUGCCUUGGGCCACCACACGCCCCCGCCUGCUGACCCUGUUCAGGGAGAAGGACGGGAAGUCCACCACCCAUGGAGGAAAUUCUCAAGCAUCCUGAGAGUGUACAACGAGCAGUUCACUUCACAGGGAGAAAAUAACAUCACCGUGGCCAGUCCUGGCUGGUCUCCCUUUGUUGUUACGAGAGGAUAGUUCUGAUGUCUUCAAAGCAUGCGAGGUGGGAGAACUCAGCAACCCUGGUAUUCUGGAGGGAGUUUCUAUUCUCUCAGUGGUGGGCCAGCACAAUGAGGUGGUGGGUGGUAUACCCAUCAGACCGGCCCAUGUAUCCAUUGUCCUUGAGGAUAAGAUCGUCAUGACUAACUCCCGCUCCUGGCCAGAUGCUCUCGUGGUUGUUUUUGGGCUACUCUACUCCCUCCAUCUGAACUACCCCAAAGCCCUGACCAGACGCUCUCGUGGUUGUUUUUGGGCUACUCUACUCCCUCCAUAUGAACUACCCCAAAGCCCUGGCCAGAUGCUCUCGUGGUUGUUUUUGGGCUACUCUACUCCCUCCAUCUGAACUACCCCAAAGCCCUGGGCAGACACUCUCGUGGUUGUUUUUGGGCUACUCUACUCCCUCCAUCUGAACUACCCCAAAGCCCUGGGCAGACGCUCUCGUGGUUGUUUUUGGGCUACUCUACUCCCUCCAUCUGAACUACCCCUGCAGCACCUUUGAGUUCAUGCAGAAAGUCUUCCUGAACCUCGACGAUGGAAAACGGAAGCCCAAGCUGCUUGCGCUGAAAAAUGAACUUUUGGCCUAAUUCUGUAGUGAUGAGAUGGAAUUUGACUUUGAGUGACCUCCUAUAUGCCGAGCGAGUGGUUUGAAAACAAUGGUUAUUUUUAUUUACUUUACUUUUAUAUUUUUGUACCUUUUUUGUGAAGGUAAUGGAUUUGAUAUUGUAUUUCAAUGAACUUAUAACCCUUUUAUGUGAAAAGAAGACACAGGUCAGUCAACACAUGAACUUAUAACCCUUUUAUGUGAAAAGAAGACACAGGUCAGUCAACACAUGAACUUAUAACCCUUUUAUGUGAAAAGAAGACACAGGUCAGUCAACACAUGAACUUAUAACCCUUUUAUGUGAAAAGAAGACACAGGUCAGUCAACACAUGAACUUGCCACAUAUAGUCGAUCUGCGACCCAGUUCUCUACCUUUGUUAUACAGCUGCAGAAAACACCCAAAUGUUUUCUAGAAGAUUUCACCUUUGCAGACAUUCCAACUGUCAAAAAAUACAUGUUGAUAAAAUGUUUAUUAAAGUGUCUUUACCUGC